UACAACUUUGCUUGAACACGAAAACAACUAAACUGAGAAAAGAUUAGUCGAGUAAGAUGUCAGGUUCACCGGCCUAAUCGCAUACCAAUUAGGAUUAAAGCUUGCUGCUGAAAAAGAAGUAAAGUUGAAGCCGUGAUACAUUCCCAGGAUUUGAGUACAUAAGUAUGCCGCUUGCGAUGAAAGAUAUGUCACCUUGGUGAAGACUUAUAGAAGAACCAAGUUUAUUAUAGAGGAUCAAAGUGAGAGUCACCAAAUAUGGCUCGCCAAUAUAUCUGUUUUUCUUCUUCUCUUUCUUCUGUUCUUCAUGUCUUUCUCCCUGUUGAACUCAAAUCCAAUGCAUAGCUUUUUUUUGGUGAGAGAUUCAUGUAAAUCUUGAGAUCCAGAUAAAUCGAAGAAGAGGGUGAUCAAUCUGGAAGCUAAUUGAGCUCCGAAAGAAGAAGAAAUCACAAGAAAUGGAAAUUAGGGUUUCUGCUAUAAUUGAAUAGGUUGUAUAAUUGGAAGAGGGGUUCGAUUUAGAAAAAGCAGAUGGAGAUUAGAGAUGGGUAUUGUGUAUUGGGAGUAAGGGAGGAGAUUUAGCUCCUGAUUCUCUACUCACAUGGAAGAAUCAGUGAAUUAGGGUUUUAUGACAACCAGUUACGGUGAAGGAAUUGAGUUUGAGUCCAAGAGAAAAGUUACUAAUAAUGAUGAUGAGUCGGUGGUGGUGUUGAUUGAAGACCGGCAAAACAGUAAAGAGAUAAGAGUCGGUGGUAUUGUUUUGAGAUGAAGGAAUCAAGAAGAGAAAUUGGAUUGUUGAUGAAAUUAAUGUCAAUUUUUAUUUUUUCUGUUUGCAAUGCAAGUAGGGGUUUUCAUCACUAAUACUUGGAUCAGGAAAGGACAUUAUGGUAGAUUCUGAACCUUCUAAUGUAUGUGAACCAUCUAAGGAAGUAUUACAGGGGAUGGGUUCAGCUUAGGUUGAGUUGCAGACUUGCAGUUAACAGUGUUGAACUAAUUGAGUUGAAUUGCAAUGGCAACGUUUUUUAGUGAAAUCUUGCAACUGUAGAUCAAGUAUUUGUUUUUGCAGUGGGUAAUCAUAAAAGGACCACUAAGGCGCUCAAAUAUGAAUGGAAGUGGCACAUUGUUUUAGAUCCAGCUUUCUAGCAUUCUAGCAGCAUUGCUAACAAGGUGAUGAAUAUUUGGGCAGUAAGUUGCAUAAGUUCGAUGUUUACUUGAAUAAUGAUUACUGUUUACUGCUAGACAACUUGGACAUUUAGUCUUUGGACAAGAUAGGUGGAUGCUACGUACAUUUUGACACAGUAGGCCUUAAUUUGGUUAGACAAUACUUUCUCUGAUUUUGGUUUCGCCUCGAGAGUAGAAAAGCCAUGGUGGUUGAUAUUGAAAAAUAUAAGACAUGAGUUCUAUUUAGUUGGUUGUAUGACAUUUUUAGAAUACCAUACAGCUCAAGGACAUAAGAAAGCACAAGCCUAUAGAACAGGAGAGGAGAAGAGAGGCCGACAUUUAAAGACUACUCAAACACCUGAAAAAAUUACUUAGAUUUAAUAUUCAAAACAAAUUCUGUAAAUUGAGGUUAAUUUUGUGUUGUUUUUGAGUUCCUAAUUGAACUAGGAUUGGCAUUAAGGAGGUGCUUAACUUACUGUAGGCCUACGUAGUAACGUAGACAUACACAGACAUUGUGUUAUGAUAGUUAUGAAAAUAGUUUCUAAAAAUCAGCAGCAACAUGUUUUAUGCGAGUCUGGUGCAGGGUGACUUGAAAUUCGAGGUAAUGCGCAACUACACAUACAUGUAUGGCUACAUAUCUUACAGUAUGUAUUUGUAGCGUGGUAUAUAUUAAAUUGGAGAAAUCUAAUCUUGGUUACCAUACACUUGGUGGUUCAUAAUUCGUUGACAUUUCUGCAGUCUCGCCCAGGCUGCGCAGAUGCCAUUUUGUUAAUCAAGUGAAUUAAGAUGAUAGCCCUGCUCAAAGGCAUACCCAAUUUCCUUUCUUCUUCUGGAUAUACUUGAAAAAAGUUGUGACAACUGUGUAUAAUCAUAAAGUUGGUACAAAGUCACUCUAGCUUCAGUGAAGCAUACAGGAAUCACAUUUGCAUUUGAAGCCUUACAAUUGGUGCGUGAUAUAUAUAGUUGAUUGGCUUUCUUGGUUUGAAGUGUGAUCCUUAUCUCAGAUAUCUUUUGAGUUUGUAUUAGAACGAUGCCUUUUCAGUUCAUGUGGUUAUUAUCCUAUCUCUCUUCUCUUUAGAUUUUACAUUUUGCACAGAGAUGGUUGUGAACUGUCAACUGGAGACUUACAAAUGACAGGCAUGUCCCUGCAAUGGUACAAUGAACUAAUGGAUAAGCUCUCCCUCCAUGUAGUUAGUUUCUUGAGUAAUCAAUCUUUCAUGGUUAUCUGCAACGUUUCCUGCUAAGCCAAUACACAACGCUAUAAUUCAUUUAGCUCUUCCACUCUACAUAAGGCAACUGUUCAAUUCCUCCAUUGUUAUUCCUGAAAGCAUGAUUAUCAAGGAAAAAAAAUAUAUGGUGCCAUUUUAUUACCUUAAUUUGAAUUACUGAAACUUUUUUUUUUGGUUUGUCACUUAUAAAAUAUAUUUGAUUUAUUCCUUCACAGUUCCGAUGACCCCAAGAGCCUAUAAUACUCAUCUAGAGUUGUUUCCCAUCAUUGAAUGUGUGGAAGAACUGACAACAAAAAUCUAAAGGAGAUUACUCAUAAGGAGGGGAUGGCGCAGAUGACAAAGAUUUUGUCUCUUCAAGGCAGGGGCAUUGAAGAUAUAAGAAAGAAGCAGAAGGCAGAUGUUGGUAUGGAUGAAGGAGACCUUAGUCAAUCUUCUCAAUCAAGUGCGGGUGCUGAAAGCAUGAUUAGUGAGGUUGAAAUCCAAGGAACAAAAACUAACGAGAAAUAAGUUGCCGCCGCGCGGUGCGUUAAUUAGAAAUGAUAAAAGAAGGUGCUCUUGAAGAUGUUGAAGACAUCUCUAGAACCAUCUGCUAAUCGAGAUCGUGGGAUUUCUCAAAAGGUUGGGAUUCAAGGUGUGCUCUUGGAAAACAACCACUUCAAUCUAGAUAAACUUCAGGUGCAAAUAUUUCGUUCGAUUGUUUGUUUAGAAAUAUUUCAUAAUGGCUCCGCAAGGAAAGUUGAGUGGUCUAUAAAAAUGUCCAUUCAGAAAGAUGAGUGAUCUAUAAAUAUUCAAACACAGUUUGGUUAAUUAACUCGCCCCGUUAUUUAUACAAGUAGUGAGCACGUGCGAUGCACGUCGGCAACAUUACCUUUUCUUAA